rnacentral:rRNA from 1 species
CGAGGAGCAUGUGGUUUAAUUCGAUGAUACGCGAGGAACCUUACCUGGGCUCGAACGUAAGAUGACUGUAGGUGAAAGCUUACAUCUCUUCGGAGCAUUUUACGAGGUGCUGCAUGGUUGUCGUCAGCUCGUGCCGUGAGGUGUCGGGUUAAGUCCCAUAACGAGCGCAACCCUUGUCCUUAGUUACCAGCACGUUAUGGUGGGCACUCUAAGGAGACUGCCGGUGACAAACCGGAGGAAGGUGGGGAUGACGUCAAGUCAUCAUGGCCCUUACGGCCUGGGCUACACACGUGCUACAAUGGUCGGUACAAAGGGUUGCCAAGCCGCGAGGUGGAGCUAAUCCCAUAAAACCGAUCGUAGUCCGGAUCGCAGUCUGCAACUCGACUGCGUGAAGUCGGAAUCGCUAGUAAUCGUGAAUCAGAAUGUCACGGUGAAUACGUUCCCGGGCCUU